rnacentral:rRNA from 1 species
UACGUAGGGUGCAAGCGUUAAUCGGAAUUACUGGGCGUAAAGCGUGCGCAGGCGGUGAUGUAAGACAGUUGUGAAAUCCCCGGGCUCAACCUGGGAACUGCAUCUGUGACUGCAUCGCUGGAGUGCGGCAGAGGGGGAUGGAAUUCCGCGUGUAGCAGUGAAAUGCGUAGAUAUGCGGAGGAACACCGGUGGCGAAGGCGGCAUCCUGGACCGAGAUUGACACUGAUGAGCGAAAGCUAGGGGAGCAAACGGG